GCCAGGUAUGGUGGUGCGUGCCUGUAGUCCCAGCUACUCGGGAGGCUGAGGUGGGAGGAUCGCUUGAGCCCAGGAGUUCUGGGCUGUAGUGCACAAUGCCGAUCGGGUGUCCGCACUAAGUUCGGCAUCGAUGUGGUGACCUCCGGGAAGCUAGGCACCACCAAGUUGCCUAAGGAGGGGUGAGCGGGCCGAGUCAGAAACUCCUGUGCUGAUGGGUAGUGGGAUCACACCUGUGAACAGCCACUGCACUCCAGCCUGAGCAACACAGAGAGACCCUGUCUCU
rnacentral:SRP_RNA from 1 species